rnacentral:rRNA from 1 species
AUGGCGAGGGCUGUUGGCACGGCCCAGUUGCACCUCGGCAGGGUGCUCACGAAGCUGUCGGAUGAGCGGGUGGCCUCCUAUGUGGCCAGCUCCGAGCUCAGCCUCGACUCCCAGAAGAUCAAAGAUGACCUGGUGCACACAAACAGUCUGCUGCAGCAGGCCCAGGGGAGGGGCACCACCAGCGACAUUCCUGGCCUCAAGGGCUUGCUGGAAAACCUGAGCAAGAAGGGUGGUGAGGCUGAGCAGUUGCUCAGCACCCUCCAGUACUUCAUGAUCCGGGACCAGCAUAACGGAACCCAGCUAGUCAAGCCAGAUCUGGGCGCUUGCCUCAAGGUCAACAAGGGUCAUCCUCGUCACACUAUUGGUAAUUGUCUUCCAUUCAUUUUUCGUCCAUGUAUCAGUAGCCCACAAGACGGAACCGAGUCUGAUGACCGCGACCAUGUUGAUGAGUUGCCAUUUGAUAGUGUGUCCAUAUCCAUCAAAAUCAAGUCGGUGUUAGAGGAGACACACUCCAUAUGUAGGAGUGUCUCCGACUUGUUCAUGUUGAUUCCGAACCAUAGCAGCAGCACUAUGGCAGCCACAACUGUCACCCGCACACGGGCAAUUACAGGAUCAACAAUUGCAUAUGAUAAAUUGUAUGGUAGGGCUGCCAUUUAUGAGCAUUCCAUAGAUUUCAUCACUAGUCGCGAUGAAACACUUUCCGUUCUCCCUGUAGUUGGGCCAGGGGGAAUUGGAAAAACAACUUUCACCCAACAUCUGUAUAAUGAUGCAAGGAUUGCAGGACACUUUACUGUCAGGGUCUGCUUAUGUGUAUCCACCAGUUUCGAUGUGCUUAAGCUCACCCGGCAGAUCCUUAGAUGCAUAAUUGCAACUGAAAAGGAAGUAAGUAGCAGUGUUGCAACUGAAAUAACCAAUCUAGACCAGCUUCAGAUUUCCAUUGCACAGAGACUAGAAUCCAAAAGAUUUUUGAUUGUCUUGGAUGAUGUCUGGAGGUGCAACAGUGAAUACGAGUGGAAUACCCUACUAGCUCCAUUCACAAAAGGACAAACUAAAGGCAGCAUCAUUCUUGUCACAACUCGGUUCCCAUCUAUAGCACACCUGGUGAAAACAGUUGAUCCAGUAGAGCUGUGUGGUUUGGAACCUGAUGAGUUCUUCACAUUCUUUGUAGAAUGUAUAUUUGGUGACCUCGAUAAACCUGAGAAUUACGAAUAUGAGUUAUAUCAUAUGGCCAGAGAAAUUGCAGAGAAGUUAAAGGGUUCGCCGUUAGCAGCCAAAACAGUUGGUCGACUAUUAAGGACAGAUCUAACUUUGGAACACUGGAUGAGGGUUAUUGAAAGCAAUGAAUGGCAAAAUAAUAAGGACGCUAAUGAUAUUAUGCCAGCUUUGUACCUUAGCUACGAUUACCUUCCUUUCCUCCUGCAAAAAUGUUUUUCCUAUUUUGCUCUUUUUCCUGAAGAUUAUAGGUUUACUCUUUCAGAAAUUAAUCGCCUUUGGAUUGCAGUAGGCAUCAUAGACUCUAGUCAUCCAGGAAAUAAUAAUUGCUUAGAAGAACUAGUGGACCGUGGAUUUCUCAGGAGGGAAGAUGGUUUGUUUGGUGAAAACUAUGUAAUGAAUGGUUUAACGCAUGAAUUAUCUCUAAAGGUUUCAGCACAAGAAUGCGUCAAUAUAUCUUCUUCAUCUUUUAGUGUUGACUGCAUCCCACAAUCUAUUCGGCAUUUGUCUAUCACCAUACAAAAUAUGUAUGAUGAGAAUUUUCGGGAAGAAAUGAGUAAACUUAAAAGUUGGAUAUACAUUGCAAAUUUACGCACUUUGAUGGUUUUUAGUGAACAUGAAGAGAUAAAUACUGAUAUUUUAAAAGAUACGUUCGAGGAAGUAAAUAGUUUGCAUGUCCUGUUUAUAGUAGUGAAAUCCCUAGAUGAUUUGCCCCAAAAUUUCUCAAAGCUUAUCCACCUCCAGUACCUUAAACUUGGAUCACCUUAUGGUAGAGAAAUAACUUUACCAAGCACACUAUCUAGAUUUUAUCACUUGAAAUUCUUAGACCUAGAAGAUUGGCAUGGUAGUUCUAAUUUGCCUAAAGAUAUUAACCACCUUGUGAAUUUGCAAGACUUCAUUGCUAAGAAAGAACUCCACUCCAGUGUUCCUGAGGUUGGAAAGAUGAAGUGUCUACGGGAACUAAAAGAAUUCUGUGUUAAGAAAGAGAGUGUUGGAUUUGAAUUAAGAGAGCUGGGGGAAUUGGCAGAGCUUGGGGGAGAACUCAGAAUAUGUAAUCUCCAAAAGGUAGCAACCAAAGAAGAAGCUAGUGAAGCCAAACUGAUGUCGAAAAGGAAUCUGAAGAAGUUGACAUUGGUUUGGGGCAGAAAACAACCGAAUAUAGACAGUGAUGUUCUUGAUGGUCUUCAACCACAUCCUGAUCUUAGAGAGCUUUGCAUUGCAAAUCAUGGUGGUGCUGCUGGUCCCAGUUGGCUGUGUGUUGACAUCUUGCUGAAACAGCUGGGGGCUCUCCAUCUUGAAGGGUUGUCUUGGGACACUCUUCCACCUUUUGGGUAG